ensembl:lncRNA
UGACCAUGGAUGAGGAAGCCCUACAGUACCGGUGUGCUACUCCUUUUCCCAGAGAUCUGCCAUUUUUCUGCACCGGCAGGAGAGUCUGUGGCCUUUGGAAAUGAAUCACCUUUAAAAAGGAAUGAUGACCAGGAUGACCUGAAGCAGGUGAAGAGGCAGUCAGCCCGCUCACUUUUUCCUUCUGUGCAGUGUCAUCACAAAACUCUUCACUGUUUUUUCAUCUGCUGUGACCACACAGUUAAGAAAGGCUCGUCAGCCCUCGCCAAGCCCAUCACCUAACACUCGAGGAAUAGAGGCUUCCAAGCAUUUUGGACACCUGCCCCAUUUCUGAAGACCCCAUUUUGAAGGGACAGUUGAGACGCCUAACUAUGAGGAAGGAGGAAUACAUCUGGGAGUACAUAUGUGCCAAGGCUCUGGCAGGGAGAUGAAGCCUACAUUUGCCACGUUUGGUUUCCAAAAUGUAAGUGAUUUUUGAAACAUAACGUAAAUUUUUAAAAGUGCUUCUUACUUAAAGGAUCAACUUAAAAGCCGUCCCGGAGUAUUCAUCAUAUAUAUUAAACAGUAGCAAAUCAGGAUGAAAAGUGGUAAUCAAGACAUCUGGAUGUAGUAUAGACACAUUAUGUAGCAUGAGCAGCUGAGGAGAGCCAACAGCUCUGACAGUGGCUUUCACUGCCUCUUCCAGAGCAGAUGACUGAGCAGUGCAACUGCAUUCAGUGCUGGCAUGGCAGCCUCAGGAAUGAGAAGCUCCUGGUGACAGCUCCAGCACUGCAAACCCAUGCCAGUCUGUGGGCCUGUUGAGAACAGACAGCCAGACAAAAACAGCAGUAGGAUAUGGGGGAAAAGAAGGGAUCCAGGUACAGAAAAAUUGAUUUCUCUAAUUUCUCCUGCUUGCAACUGCGUUAAAACUAUUGUUCUUUAAAACAGUGUGUAAUACAGUUCACCAAGUGGAGUAUGGUUGGAGGACCACUGAGCACAGCUGUCUGGGAGGUUUAUAACAUCUUCUGAUUUCCUAUGGGUAACUGGUGAAAGAUUAGAGGAACAUGAAAACACCACACAACUUGUGGGUGGAUAUUCCCCUUUUAAGUAUUGUUCAAAGGAGCUUUCAAUUCUAGGUUAUUGUAUCUAAUUCCGUUCCAGUCUGGUAGUGAAUGUAGUCUGUUCCUGAUGGAGUUGUUUCAGAAAAGAAUUGUUCUUUUUUCUUAAAGGAAAAUAAUUCUUAAAGGAAAAUCCAUGACUUAGCUCAAUAUUUUACACUAAAACUGGAAACAUCUGUACACAUGUCAAAUUUUUCUUUUUCCAUAAUACAAACAAGCAGGAAAGAACAAAAUAAGGGAAAAUAUGCAGACGUAAGAACUCUUCUCAGUAUAAAUUGUUCCUAGUAAUGAGGGAGAAAAUAAUUAACUAUCUGGGAAUUCUCAGCCAACAUCCUUAGCAAGCACAGUCAAAACAUCAGGGAAGAAAUGUACAUCAUUUUCAUCUGGAUAUAUGGCUUAAUGGCUUAAAGUUGAAGAAUUUUUCUUCAUUAUUAAAACAAUAUAAAGUGCUUACACUAAAACUCACACUAUUUGAUAUGAAAAUUAAAAUCUGUCUGGACCUAUUGGAAGAAUUGUCAUUCUGACCCCUGUCCAAUUCUGCAGAAAUCUGAAGUUUCUAAGGGCUGGAAGAAAGAAAUUGAUUUUUAACUUUAGGGAAAUGUCUGAAAAUUCUCCAUUACCAAGUUAAUAAAGUACUGUAACUCUAAUGCAAAUUGAUGUGUUGUGAGAGAUUGAGCGCUCAUGAAAUGAAGCUGCCCAUUAGAAAAUACUAUUAAGGUAUUAAGCCAAUGAAAAAAUAGCAGUAUAGAAGAGAGGGCCGCUUGAAUGUUGUGAAAGGUCAUAUAAUCCAUCACUUUUUCUGAAGAAAGGAUAAGAGAAUAAUGGCAUUUGGGGCUAAUCCUUAAGUCAGUGUGCUUGUACAUCUUCACUGAAAUUAGGCAGAAAAAUUUAAACCUCUGUGAUUCUAGCAUGCAGAACUUUCCCCCCAUUUUUCAGCUUUUUAACACUAGCACUGACUUAAUUGCUCAUCUGUUACAGGCAGCUGAAAAGGACAUCAUGGAAGAGAAAGGAGCCGCUGGUCACAAACAAGCAGCCUUGUUCAUCAACAGCAUGGCUGCAGUGGCAUGAGUCAAGGCAGGCUUACAUUUUCUGGCCAGCAAAUCAAUCACUUCAUUAGUCUUCACCAAAAAAACAUCUCCCACAACUAUAUACUCUGCCUUAGUCUUUCUGAAUAUUAGGGUUUUCUUAGGAUGUCUUCUAACAUACUUUUCUACCAAAUAUCUUGAGUUUCUCCAUGGCUUUGCAUAGGUACUUGUCUCACCAUAAGCAGCCUGGGGAGGAUGGCAGAAAUGCCUCUCGUGAAGAUUUAGUGAGUGUGCCACGCUGGCACACAAUUCUUUUCUUGUUAUUGUCUUUUCAGGACAUACAUUGAAGUAUUUCUCUUGCUUUCCACAUUUUGUCACUUAGAAAUGUCAUUGGCAAGAGCCACUCUAUACAAACAUAAGGCAAAAAGAAUUUUUUUGCACUUCUGUUCCUGAGAGCAGAAGUGUCAAGGAGGAUACUACAGAAAGACAGAGACCGUGGUAUAACUGUAGCGAUUUUCCAGCCAGAGGAGCCUUCCAGCUUAGCUAGUCAUAAAGACAGAAGUCUAGACAUACCUCUAAUAAGGCCAGUAUUAACACGCCGUAAUUAUUUUACCUUAAGGUAAUGCUCAUUCAUCAUCGUGACACUGCUAUAAAUAGAGUAUAAUCACUUCACAUUUUCCAAUAAGUCCAAUACAUUCGGAAAUUAGGUAAGGUAGUGAAGUUUGUCAUUUCUCACUGUAACAAGUAGCAAUUGCUAUUGAGAAGUUUCAGAAGAGAAAUGGCAGUUUCUCCUGAAACUGUAAUUAAUAUGCUUUCAGUAUAUGUAAGUCAGCACAGCUGCUUAGUCUAAAACGAGAUUUGACUACUGUCCAAAUUAUCCUAACCGUAAAGAAGAAAUCCACUACAUAGCACAGAAAUCUUUUUGUUAUUAUGCCUCCUCCUAUCAGGUAAUUUUACAAAGCAUGAUUGGGCAAAUUUGCACAGAAAGCAAUAUCUCCUUUCCACCUAAAAAAACCAAUCUCAUUAAAGCCAAAAGGAAGACUUAAAAAGAUAUUACUCAGGGAAGUAUAGGAAUUUGUUUAAGGUUAUAAACACACUCAUCCAAAAGUUUUAAACCUAUUCAAGUUUGGAAUUCCAGUUAAGGUCCAUAAAGUACAAAUUUUGUGUUUUACGUCUGCAGUAAAAGAUCAGAGAUUACUUGUAAUUAUUAUGACCCAUGUCUAAUGAUUUUAAGAGCAAUCUGUAAGUGUUUACAAUGCCCUGGAAUGACAGUAUAUUUGCUUUAUUUGUAUUUUCUCUGUUCAACUUACUCAACUUCCUUGAUUGAACUACUCGUUGGAUCAUGAAGUAUUAAGGAUCUUGAAAAACUACAGGCUAUGUGGUCCUAAAAAAAAAAGACAGUUUUUGAAAUGAGUGUUUUGAAUGGUGACAAUUUUGAAUGAAAACAUAUUGGAAGACUUUAGAAGAACUGAGCAGCAUUGUUCAGCCUUCUCUUACAGGAAACAAAAGACAAAAGGAGUAACCCACUCUAGACAGAUGCCUCAUAGGGUAAGCAAACAUUAUAAAAGUAGGAACUUUCUGUUUUCAGGAUGAGAGAUGCAGAUUAGGUCCUUGUUUAGAUAAAAGAAGCUGGCGUAGCAGAUGUACAACAGCUUGCAUUGGCUACUUCCCCCAUAUAGAUAUAUCAGAUUAAUCAGAGUAAGAGAUUUGGUUUGCAAGUGAUGUGGAUGCCCAAGGGGCUGCAGGGUUUGUUUUGUCCACAGCUGAGCUACUCAGCCAACUAUUGGAUGGCUUAUGGUGAUACACUGGUGACAUAAAUCACAGCUGAUUACUGCAUACAAGAGAUGGAAUAUUCCUUCAAGAUAUAACAUUUCUCGGAGUUAAAGCUGCUUCCUCCAAGAUCUUAUUGAAGUCAUUCUCCAGGAUCUUAGUAACACUGUAAUAUAAACACUGUCUUAAAGGGAUCCUUGUUCCAGGACCCCUUUAAUCCUUAUUUCCCUUUACAGGAACUUGCAGAGCUAGAAACCCAUCUAAACUUUUCAUUUGGAGCAGCAGUACUUAGCUGAACUGACAUCUAAGUAGGUUGGCAAAUUAGCUAUGAAUUUGUAUGCUUGGCUCUCACAUGUUUGAUUACUCAGGGAAAUAGCACGGACAAGAGCAUAAGUGAAAAGUUGGAUACUGUUAAAAUUUCUGACUCUGAUCUAUCUGCCCCUUGGUAAUUUGUCACAGGUAUAAACGUGCACGUUGCUUAAUAUACUGUCUACUUUUCAGAUAUAAGUAACAUUUCGAACUGUGCUACUUAAAUGAUGUUCCCAUUAUGGCUUUACUGCAGCAUGGUAACAAAUUCAGUGUCUUAGCAAUCCUGCUUGGAUUCCAUACUGCAGUUUGUCAGCCACAUGCCUUUCUUCCAUCAUUUGUUUUGUCAUCAGUGAAAAUUAAUUUUCUUGUGUUCCGCCCUUCUUAUCGCUUUUAGAAAAACAGACAACAUCUGCUUUGCAGAGACUCACAAAAGGAAAUGAACAUUCUUUCUUACUGGAGGAUGACAUUAAUGACAAUAAAUCAUCCCAAGACCUUAUUUAUCUAUCGUUUAACAGUCGUUUUACAGUUAUGUGUGAAGAGGUGUGAAGUAUACUAUGAUUAUCUAAACGUUGGUUAGAAAACAUUGGCAGAAAAAGGUAGUUGUAUUUAAGAGCUUUUCUUAUAUACACAAAGGUUUGGGGGGAUCUAUUGUGCAUUUUCCAGAAUAAUUUCUGCAUUUAGA